GAUGAACGCUGACAGCAUGCUUAACACAUGCAAGUCGAUGGGGAAGUGGUGCUUGCACCAUGGUAACCAUGGCGGACGGGUGAGUAACGCGUAAGGAACUUGCCUGCGGGACUGGGAUAACAGCAGGAAACUGCUGAUAAUACCGGAUAAGGUCAUUAAGCUGCAUAGCUUAGUGAUGAAAGGAGACGCCUGCGGAGAGCCUUGCGUCCUAUUAGCUAGUUGGAGGGGUAACGGCCCACCAAGGCGAAGAUAGGUAGCCGGCCUGAGAGGGUGGACGGCCACAAGGGGACUGAGAUACGGCCCUUACUCCUACGGGAGGCAGCAGUGGGGAAUAUUGGACAAUGGGGGCAACCCUGAUCCAGCAAUUCUGUGUGCACGAAGACGGUUUUCGGAUUGUAAAGUGCUUUCAGCAGGGAAGAAGGAAGUGACGGUACCUGCAGAAGAAGCGACGGCUAAAUACGUG
rnacentral:rRNA from 1 species